UGGCGCCCAACUUUGCUUUUCAUUCUGCUGAGCUUUGCUUGUCUAUGUUAGCUCCGUCUAGAGCUUUAGGUCUAGCACAAGAUCCAACUGCCAGGGCAAAAAGCAUUCCUUCUACUUUUCCUCCUCAUUUACUUCUCAACCUUUUACCAUUAGGCUUCAGAUCUCAUAAAAAGUGAAACUGUUUUUCCGAAAUUACCAGCAGUCUCUUAAUGUCCAAAUCUGACCAUUUUCUUCAUCUUCAUCCCUCUAAACAUAUUGCUUUCUUUUUAGUUCGACAUUGCUUGACCACCCUCUUCUGAAUAUCCUCUCUGCCCUGGGACAUCAUUCUCCUGACUCUCCUCCUGCCUUUCUAUAGAAUUCCUAAGGGUCAUUUCUAGACUUGCUAUCCCUUUCCUGCCCCCUUAAUUGUGAGUGUUCCCAAAAGCUCAGUCCUGGGCCUCUCUUCUCUUUGCUCUCUAUCCAUUCUUUUUCUUGGCAACAUCAUUAGCUCCCAUAGGUUAAUCUUGCCAUUUCUCCACAUCUUUCUAAUCCUACCCUUCUCGAUUCAGUGACCAUCUAAAUUUAGAUAGCAGCUUGAAGAUAGCAGCUUAGAAGCAGCAAAUGUCAAUUCCUCUGUGAAGACCCUUCCACACCAAUCAAAAACAAAGUACUUUGAGGGGGACAGAAAACCAAAUACAAGAGGACAGAACCAGGGAACCUUCUGCUUGAUUCAACUUAAAAGGUACACAGAGAAGGUUGAAUUUGGGGGUUUAAGGAAAAGAAAAAAGGAAGGUCCCAGGACCCCUCCCUACCUACUGUGCUGAGACUCGGGCACUUAGUGGGAUCUCAGGGUAAGGGUUCUAGACUAGAGGGAGUGCCUUGCUACUCCAGGAGUACCACAGCUACUCCAGGCUCAGGGCUCUGACCAAAACUGGCAGGAAGGCAGCUGGAGAACAGGGGUAGAGAGGAGGGCAGUCUGGUCACAGUCUUCAGCCAUCACUCCUCCAUCUUGGACCUCUGACUCUGGAAGUUUUGGCCUCAGGGCCCAUGCAGAUCAGCUCAAUUGGCUUAAUCCAGUCUAUCAAUACUGCAUAUGAGAAGCCUGCAGAGGGCAGAUUAGCUCAAUCUCCAACAUACCUCUUCCACCUACUGUACUGAGACCCAUGGUAAGAAUCUGGCUGACUGUGAUCCCAGGGUGAAGGCUGCAACUAUGACAAAGCACCUUUGUACCACUGUGGAAAGCUCAGAGCUCUGAAUAGGCAGCUGGCAGGGAGGUGGCUGACAGGAAGGAAGAGAGGAGGAUGAGGGUAACUCCCUUCAGCCUCCACCCCUUCACCUACACUUUUAGCUUCUGCUGGAAACUGGGGAAGAUCUAGUCUCUGGGCUCAUUAAUACAACAGGUCAGCUCCAUCAGUCUAAUCCAGUUAAUCAGCAGAGCAGGAAAAAAAAGCCCCUACAGAGCAUAAAAACAAACUCAAAGAUGCAGUAAAUAAACAGAGGAGCAAGAAUGCAGCCAAUCAGAAGGAGAAAAGAAGGAAAAAUUAUAACUAAACAACAGAAAAGGAAAAAAGAAAUUACAAUUGACAACUUCUAUCCAGGUAAUUGACAAAGAGCAAAUGGAACAGAGGAAGACCAAGGAACACCAAGAAAAACCUCAGAAACUCCAGCAAAUUGGACCUAGGCUUUGGAAGAACUUAAAAUGCAAUUCAAAAAAUUAAGAAAGGCUGAAGAAAAUUGGAGAAAGAAUUUAAAAACAAAAUAGGUCAUUUGGAAACAGAGGCACAUGAACUAAAACAAGAAAAUAGUGUUUUAAAUAGCAGAAUUGAGCAGCUUAAAAAUGAGGCAAAGAAAGACUUACAAAGAAAAAUAGAUCAAAAGGAAAAGGAGGAUCAAAAAUCCAGGGAUGAAAUUCAGUCUUUAAAAAAAUUAGAAUCCAACAACUAGAAGCAAAUGACUUCAUUCACAAGGCAGCAAGAGUCUAUAAAACAAAACCAAAAGAACAAAAAAAUUGAGGAAACUAUGAAACAUCUCAUUGAUAAAACAACAGACCUAGAAAAUAGAUCCAGGAAAGACAAUUUAAGAAUUAUUGGACUAUCUGAAAAUCAUGACCAAAGAAAAGCCUAGAUAUCAUUCUACAAGAAAUUAUCCAAGAAAAUUGCCCUGAUAUUCUUGAACAAGAGGGUAAAACAGAUAUUGAAAGAAUCCACAGAUCACCUCUUAUAAUAAAUCUCUAACUGACAAUGCCCAGGAAUGUUAUAGCCAAGUUCAAGAACCUCCAGACCAAGGGAAAGAUACUACCAACUGCUAAAAAGAAACCAUUAAGAUAUCAUGGAGUCACAAUCAGAUUUAUCCAAGACCUGGAUAUAUCCACACUAAAGGAUCAGAAGGCAUGGAAUAUGAUAUUCUGGAAAGCAAGGGAAUUGGGUCUACAACCAAGAAUCUACAAACCAAAGUACCCAGCAAAAUUGACAAUAUUCUUCUAGGGGAUACUAUGGUCUUUUAAUAAAAUAGAAGACUUCCAAGCAUUCCUGAAGAAAAGACCAAGCUUGAACAGAAAAUGUGAUUCCCAAAUACAGAACACAAUAGAAUCACCAAAAGAUAAUUAAGGAAAAAAAUUUAAGGGAUCUGAUAAGUUCAAAUGACUUGUAUUGCUAUAUGAAAAAAAUGAUAUUGGUAAUUCUUAAAAAUUGUUAUUAUCAUUGGGUAGCCAGAAGAAGUAUACUUAGGGGGUAUGGUGACAAACUGUAUAGGAUGAUAUGUCAAAAAUAUAUAUUUAAAAAAUUAGGCGUAAAAAAAGAAGAUGAUACUAAGAGAAAUGGGAAAAGAGAAAAAAAUGAGGUAAAUAUAUAUUUCAUAAAGAAGCAUGUGGGGAGAGUGGGAGAUAAGACCAAUACAAUGGAAGGGUGGAAGAGACUGGUAACAGCAGCUAAAUUAAUUAUACAAAAAUUCAAGUCAUUCCCCAAUUGAUAAAUGGGCAAUUGAUAUGAAUAGACAGUUUUCAGAUAAAGAAAUCAAAACCAUCAAUUAAGCAUAAGAAAAAAAUGUUCUAAAUUCCUCUUAAUUAGAGAAAUGCAAAUCAAAACAACUCUGAGAUAUCACCUAACACCUAGCAGAUUGGCUUAUAUGACAGCAAAAGAAAGUAAUAAAUAUCGGAGGGAAUGUGGCAAAAUCAGGACAUUAAUGCACUGCUGAUGGAGUCAUGAAUGGAUUCUGGAGGGCAAUUUGGAACUAUGCCCAAAGGGUGAUAAAAGACUGUCUGCCCUUUGAUCCAGCCAUAGCACUGCUGGGUUUGUACUCCAAAGAGAUCAUAAGGAAAAAGACAUGUACAAGAUUACUCAUAGCUGCGCUCUUUGUGGUGACCAAAAAUUGGAAAAUGAGGGGAUGCCCUUCAAUUGGGGAAUGGCUGAACACAUUGUGGUAUCUGAUGGUGAUGAAAUACUCUUGUGCUCAAAGGAAUGAUGAACUGGAGGGAUUCCACGUGAACUGGAAGAACCUCCAGGAAGUGAUGCAGAGUGAAAGGAGCAGAACCAGGAGAACAUUGUACACAUUGUGGCACAAUCUAAUGUAAUGGACUUCUUUACUAGUAGCAAUGCAAUGAUCUAAGACAAUUCUGAGGGACUUGUGAGAAAGAACACUGUCCACAUCAAGAGAAAGAACUGUGGGAGCAGAAAUGCAGAAGAAAAGCACAUGAUUCAUCACAUGGUUCGAAGGGGAUAUUAUUGCGGAUGUUGACUUUAAAUAAUCAGUCUCUUGCAAAUAUUAAUAAUAUGGAAAUAGGAUCUGAACUAUAGUAAUAAAAUUAGGAAUUAAGAUUGAUAGAAUUCUGAUAAGCUAAGAUUUGGCAAGGCGAUCUCAGAAGCUUAAGCAGCUAGAACUGUAUGCAAGGUUUAGAAUGAAGGGGGAAGGGGAGCCAGAGUUCUAUGUGACAGUUUGAACUCUGGCAGUUGAGCUUAGCUGCUGGGCUGAACAGGUUAGCUCUCUCUGCCUGGACAGUUUUAGCUCUGGCUCGAGUUUCGAGCUCUGGCGGUUGCUGAGCUUGACUGCUGUUGAUCUGUCUCUCUCUUCAUAGCCGUGGUUUGAGAAGAAAAGGACAAGACAUUCAUCAACAGUCUCAUGAGGGUUUCUUCCACAUUGAAGAACAGAAACCUUAAGACGGUAGCUGUUGCUGUUAACUCUGGCUGGUUUCCAGUUUGCCUGUUUUCCUUUCUCUCUGACUAAGCUUGGUCUGAGGGAGGUUCUUGAAACAUCUUGAGAGUUUCUGUUCCGAGUUGGAGGAUACAUCAGGAAGAAACUCGGUGAAAUACCUGCUGUUGAGAUCAUUUCGUUUGGAAGGAGAAAAGACCUGAAACCCUGUUUUGCCUGAGACUGAGAGAAAUCUCAGAGCCCAGUCAGUUAAGCGAGCCUAGCCAUUCUGAGCUCACUCUUAUUAUUUACUUGGAGGCAAAUUUUAAUACAGAUAUUUUAAAAUCAACAUAUAAGGCAGUCUGUGUGCACUGAGCCCAGUCAAGAGGUCUACAUUGAACUUCCCUGUAAGAGCAAUGAUGCUUGCAAAACCCAGUGGGAUUGCUCGUCAGUUCUGGCAGGUGGGAAAGGAGAAGAGGAGGGCAAGAGCAUGAACCAUGUAACCACAGGGAAAGAUUCCAAAUUAAAUAAAUAAAUAAAGUGUUUGACAAAUUUA